AAAAAAACUUAACUUAUUUCAGCUCACCAUCUAGAUUCUAAACGCCACGAGAGGCUCCUGUGAAUGCAGUUUCCAAACGAGUCCUAGGGUUAUCCCAAUCAAGCGCCUGUUCAAAUUUAUGAGAAAAUCUAGUCUCUUCUUGACUGGUUUUCAGUAUUUCUCCUCCGUUUCCUCUGAAAUUUUAAACUGAUAUGCGAAGUCCAGAGCACACACUUUCUGUAGCUCGCUACGUGUUUUUUUCCCAAACCUCGUAUGACUUAAUUCAUGUCCUAUGUUGAAGAAAAUACUGAGCAUUGGCGAUGAGUUUAUCCCAUCGUUAUCCUUGCACCGAAUUUAUGGGGAAAGCUCUCUAUGAGAUGCUCCUUUCAUAACCCUAACGAAGUGAAGAGUUUUUUUUUUUGGUCUUGAUAUUAUGUCCUCACGUUAUUAUUUUGUUCAGAUUUUUUGGCUUUCAAUAUUUGAAUUAUCUUUUAUGGAUCAACGAACUAGUCCGGAAAGGUGCUCAGUUUUUCUUCCCUCAUGGUCAAAACAUAUUAUUUUCGAGCUCUUUGGUCUAAAUCGUUUAUGAUUAUAUUUUGUUAAAUUGGUAAUGAUUUCGUGCAGAAUUCGGUUGCAGAGAAAUCUGUAGAAAAAAGCUUGCAUCUUUGUCAUUUCGCUGAAAUGAAAAAACUCCGAACCAGGGGAAAAGGAAUUGAACAAAAAAAGAGUUAAUUUACUCUAAUUUCUGUUGCACUGGUAUUGAGGCUUCUGUGCAAGCAUUAAUUUGCCGGCUGCCUAAUCUAAAUGUGCUAAAAAAAAAUUGUUGGGUUACGACUUGCAUCGUAAACCUAAGCAAUAAGUAAUACUACGUGAAAUGAAGAUUUUAUUACCAUCUCCUACAAACUUGGCAGUCGUGGCAUGUUAAUUCCUCUGCCAAGUAAGUAUGUGUGGAGUGUUAGUAAAAUCUUUGGGACAUCUAGCAUGUCUUUAAACAAUAUGUUUCUGCUGCCUGCCUCACGAUGUUUUUUGGUUUCCCCUCCUGGUGAAAAUUCAAUAGUUGCUCGUGUUUUUGGCUAUGGUGGUAGAGGGGUGGCUAUGGAAGCAGCAGAUCAUUUGUGAAAUGGAAAAUGAUUGAGCGACAACUAGAUCACAACUUGGUAUUAAAAAAAUAUUUUUUCAUUUGUUUUGGACUACUGCUUCUGACAGUGUAUUUGAAUGGAAGGGAAAAAAUUAAUUUCUUAAUAUCAAGUUGUGUUAAAGUUGUAGUGUAAUUGUUGCUCUAUGGUUGUUCGAUAUAGCUCAUAAUCGUCUUGUUAGACGGGUAAAAUGUAUAUCUUGUUCAGCUUUCAAUGGACCUUUGAAUCUCUCACUACUUCCAGACUACCAACAGAGAGAGUAUUGAAUGUGGGAUUUGGUUUUAGGUGAGCUCCUCUAUUGGCGUUACAAAUGCUAUAUACUAUAUUACUAUCUCAUUUUUUUCCCAAGCUGUCAAUGUGUACUUUCCAUCACUCUUGGAUCAUUUUAAAAAAAUUCAAAGGUUGAUGGUCAAUGCCAUCUCAUCAUAGUAGGAUAAAAUUGAGAUGCUGGUGUAUGAGGAAUUUUCCACUUUGUAGAGCCAAUGGUUGCCUAACAGGUGUAUACUUUCUUUCUCAUGCUAUCAGUGUACGGUCAUUCCAUCUUUUUUUGUCUGGUGUUUGGGGUGUAAAACCACCAAGCCCUCGGUUCAGUUUGGUGGUCAAAUGCUAUAUACUACAUUACUAUCUUAUUUUUUUCCCAAGCUGUCAAUGUGUACUUUCCAUCACUCUUGGAUCAUUUUAAAAAGAUUCAAAGGUUGAUGGUCAAUGCCAUCUCAUCAUAGUAGGAUAAAAUUGAGAUGCUGGUGUACGAGGAAUUUUCCACUUUGUGCUCUAUAGAGCCAAUGGUUGCCUAACAGGUGCAUGCUUUCUUUCUCAUGUUAUCAGUGUACGGUCAUUCCAUCUUUUUUUGUCUUGGUGUUUGGGGUGUAAAACCACCAGGAACUGCACCCCUUGGUGUGGUAGGUAUCUGCGCCCAGCAGACUAUGUUGAGGCGGUUCUCCUGCUGGCUGGUGUCGAUCCCCACCCUCUUAUGUAUUUCAUAAUUUGAUUUUUGUCAUGUAUUUUAAUGCAUUUAGUGUCUGACUUUGCAUUAAACUUGCAAACUUCUUGAAGCCAUCUAGAAUACUGAAAUAUACGUGUUAAUUUGUUAUAUUAUUUCUAAUUGAGUUGCAUUAGGGACUUGGCAGUUCACUAAUCUUAUAUCAUUAUGUUUAUUGUGUGUUUAAUCAAUCUUGUGGAAGCAUCUGAGCAUUUACUGAGGUGUGUUCGAAAUUACUUCUGAUCUGCAAUCUAUUGUUUCGAAAUGAGAUAUGUUAUUGUUCUUAAAUCAGCAGUGAAAAUAAUUUCUUUAAUGUGAUGGGGCUAAUGUAUGAAAGUAAUUAAUCUUUUUCUUAUAAUGUAUGGGGCUAAUGUAUGGGGCUAAUGAUGGGGCUAAUGUAUGAAAGUGUAGCCUGCCGUGGAUGAGGGGGUUUUUGUGCAAGUUUUUACUCUUCUUUUCUUUUGCUACUGCUGGCUGGCUGAAAUGCUUAUAUUGUUUAUAGAUGGGAUUCUUUUUUUCCUGAUCUGGUAAUUAGCAACUGACUUUAAUACAUUUAGUGGAACAUCAACCAUCUCUAUGUUGAGUUUAGCCCUGCACUUUGUUUUGCCAGGAUACACAAAAUGAACUUUUGCAUCUGGUUCCUAGCUCUUCUUCUUGAUGUCCAAUAUGAAGCCUAGCAAUCUUGAUGGCCUUUUGUUCCAUCAGAUAAUUUCUAUAUAUCUCAAUCAGUCGUAUUUGAUCUUAGUUGGAUUUUAUGAAACAUGAGUAUCUGGAGAACCAUUGAUUGUAUAUUCAAUCGAUGGCUUGGAUUUUGAAGUAUGUUUUAGGUAAGAGUGAGGGUAGGUAGAUCCUUAUUGGAGGGUUAACUUCAUUCCUGUGCAUGUUUCUGUCCGUUGCAAAAAAAACUUGUUGAAUUGAUCUGUUAUCAUGUUUCUCCAAAAAAUACUUAUAAAAAAAAUAGAGUUUCUCUAAUGGAUCAACGAUGUUUGUUAGGAAACUGCGUUAUCUUUCUGUAAUUUCCUUAAUGGGAUUGAAGAUAAUCAUAACAUACUGAGAUCCAUUAUUCCCAUUAUAUAUCAUUUUAAAUUCUUUGUAGAAUAUAAUUUCGGAAACAUCAAACCAAGCAAUUUAACAAAGUGGGUGGGUUUUGGUUUUUUCUGUUGUUGAAAUGAUUUCGACUGUAUGAUAUUCAAGAAGUUAGGUUGGAAUGACUGCGUUGUAUGUAGGUAAUUGGGAGGGAUUCUCCUUAAGUGGAAAAGGGAGAAUCAAUGAGUAUGACUGUGAAAUAUUUUGUCGGUCGAAAUUGUAGCCUUCAACUGGUCACCUGUGUAUUCAUGACUUGAUAAUGAAAUCAUUCAUAGGCUGUGAAUGCAAUUGUGUUG